UAAUAUUUCAUUAAACCGGAUAAAGAUUCAAGGCUAUUCAGUUCUGCGCACAAGUUCUCAUGGAUCGUAAUCAGAGAGCUGGGAUUCCAACCUAAGUCUCCCUACAUACGGAAUUAGAAUGCCCUGUGAGGACCAGAAAUGACUGCUAGCCAAUGGACAGAGAAGCUCUCCAUCAAUUCAUAACUUUGAACAGCAGAUGGACAACUAGACAUACAAGUCUAUGUGCCGUGUAUCUAAAUGAUAUCCCUGUAAGUCAGUAAUCUCAGAACUAAAUUGUCUCCCAUGACAGGCACUGAAAAAUAGACUCUAAGGGUCAUUCUCUGUCUGACCAGAGCAAUAAUUUUAGGAUUUUCAACAUUUGCAAAGGAAAUUCUUAACUUCUGAAGGUGCUCUUGUUCUAUCAAUUUAAAAAGGUUUUUGAAAGAUAUUGAAACUAUAGAAAAUAAAAAGACUUCUACAGAAAGUACUUAAGGCAAAGAAAAAUCUAGCUUUCUGGACCAAACUGCACAGUCGUAGGCGACUUGGGACAUGGAAGGAAAGACCUGUUGCCUGUUUUUCUUCGCCUGUUCAUUGUCCUUAAUUACAAUUUAGGCAACAAAAUGAAACAUAAAUGGCUUUUUUUUUUUAUCAACGGAACAUAGCCGGAAGCACAAACAAUAAAUUAUGAAUGACCGAAGCAGAAACUUUUCCGGAUCCCGUGCGCAGGACGCUAUCGCGCAUGUUCGGGAUC